UUAACAUCGAUAAAACUGUUAAAAUGUAUUAUCAAUCAUGCUAUAAAUAUGCAAUACACAUAUUCAUAGUCUUACCGUAUAUGUUUUAAAUGCAUUCCAAAGAUUUCUAAAUGUUAAUGUUGAUAUUUACUAUAAUUCCCUUUAAAUCUUGUUGCUAAGAAACAAUUUGUUUAUAGUGAUGAAGGACAAAGAGAAUGCAGGAGGUCUUUUCACACAUUUCAGCUUUUCUUCCAGAACAGGCUAUAGACAGACAUACAUAGGUUGACAUGGGAUCAACCAGCUUUACCAAUCCCUAUGCGAUUGAAGUGAUUCGGACAAAAGAAAAUGAGCUGGUCCGUGGAAUUUCCAAUACAGAAGAUUUACUGGACCUUCUCAUCGCAAAUGGAGUUCUUCAACCCGACAGCCGAGCCCUGAUGUCCAGCAUUACAGCACAAGAAGAGAAGAACACUAGAAUGUUAAACAUCUUAAUCUCAAGAGGGGAGCGGGCCUGUCGAAUCUUCUUCUAUCCUUGUCUAAAACGAGUGGAACCUGUCCUGUAUCAGCAAAUGAGGACAUACGUCGGUGGGGUUAAUGAGGGCAUUAAAGAUGCACGGAGGCAGUUAAUCGGAUAUCUGAUAGAAAAAGAUAAACAAAGUCAUGUCAAACACUCAAAAUCAAACAGGGAACCUCAACCCGAGAGAAGUCAACCGAAGACUGUAAGAGACGAGGCUUCUUCUUUUGAAAAAACAAAAGAAAUCCCUAAACCUGAAAGGGAUCAGAAUGCCAUCCUCAAAGCUGUUUCCAACGGUGAUCUAUAUCUACUGCAGGAUCUUAUCAAAGGUAUGGAUAUCAACAGUGCUCACCGGUACCCUGAUACCCUUCUGCACCUCGCUGCUGAACAUGGUAAGGAGGCUAUCAUAUACUUUUUGUUAAGACAGGGGGCUGAAAUGAAUUUUAAAGACAGGGAGGGCGGUACUGCCUUGCACAGAGCCUCAGAGAGGGGCCACACUGCUGUUGCUCUCGCCCUUGCAAAAGCUGGGGCUGAUAUUCAUGCUAAAGACCAAGCAUCAAAGACUCCCUUGCAUCUGGCUGCCCAAAAUGGACAUGAGAGUAUUGUCAAAGCCCUGGUGCUAGAGGAGCAGAAACAUUUUAAGAAUCAGACGACAGUUUUACAUAUGGCUGCCAUCCAGGAUGAUGCAACCUUGGCAGAAGUUCUUCUGAGAAAUGGUGCUUUAGUAGAUACCAGAGAUGGACACAGAAAAACUGCUCUCUAUCACGCUGUACACCAUGGAAAUGAAAAAACCGCUGCUGUUCUGUUGAAGGCUGGAGCUCAGGUGGAAUCUGUGAUUGUGGAUGCUGCGUUUAAAUUGAACAAAAAGCCUUUGUUGUCUUUGUUUUUCCAGUAUGGGCAGGAGUCUAUGUCCCCACAUGAAAUAAACUCUGCUCUUUUCAAAGCGGUGGAGAUGAACUUGGAUGAGGUUGUGGCUGCACUCCUUGACCACGGUGCGGAUGUUAAUUGUUGUAAUGAGCUUGGAUACACACCUAUGCUGCUGGCCGCAGAGCUGGGAAACACAGAGGCGUUCAAAGUUCUGGUUACAAGAAAGGCCAGACUGGAUGAGAGACUUCCAAACCAGAUCUCCGGUCUUCACCUGGCCAUCCAGAGUGGCAGUAUGCAAGUGGCACAGAUACUGUUGGAUAAGGGCAUAGACCCCAACAUCAAUGGCCCUAAAGAUCAGACACCUCUACAUUUAAGUGCAAUACAUAACCAGCCAGCUUUUAUGCCGCUUUUGUUGCGUAUGGGGGCUGAAAUUAACUCUAUCACCCAGGAAGGACUCACUGCACUGCAUCUUGCAAGCAAGAAUUGUUACAGGGAAGCUGUCGCCCAGCUUCUGGAGCGCAAGGCGGACAUUCACAUCAAAGACAAACAGGGAAGAACAGCCCUGCACUGGGCGGCAACACAGGGCGAGGCUGGCAUCAUACAGCUGCUACUCAAUGCAGGAGGUGAUUCCAACGCCCCUGAGAAAGAGAAAAAGACGCCACUACACCUGGCUGCAAUGGAGGGCCACACUAAGGCGGUUUCUGUACUGCUGUCUGGUAAAGCUAAAGUUGGAGCUAAGGACAUGGAUGGCUGUACACCUUUGCAUUAUGCUGCUGGAACAGGGAAGCAUAAAACAGCAGCAGUUCUUCUUGCAACUAGUAAGAGAAAGAAUGUGGAUGAUAAGAACGUGUGGAGGAGGACUCCUCUUCAUUUAGCUGCAGAACAUGGACAUGACCUGCUGGUGGAGCUACUCCUGGAGAAUGGUGCGAAGAUCAACACCCUGGAUAACAAUAAAGACAUGCCGCUGCACUGUGCUUGCCGCGUCGGACAUGUGGGAACCGUGCAUAGACUGGUGAACUGGACACAUGGAGAGCGAGCAAACUUACAGGCAACUAAUAAUGUGAAUAAAACGCCCCUUCAGGUGGCAGAGUCUGAUGAUACACAGGCCCAUCAGAACAUUUGUACUCUGCUGAAGAAGAAAAUGUUCCUUGUAAAAUAGCUAAUUCAAUUCAAUUUUAUUUAUUUAGUGCUUUCCACAAUGUGCAUUGUUCCAAAGCAGCUUUACAGGAGAAAAUAAGAAAAAGAAAACACAGAAAAGCAGUCUCCAGGUGAGCAAGCCAACAUGGUCCUGUGCCGAGGAACACAAACUCCAAUGAAAAAAAUGGAGAAAAACCUCUGGAGAAACCUGUCUCAGCUGGGAGGCCCAGCAGGUCCCCUCUGUCGUGUCACAGCUGCACUCGAGGGACUUUAAAUAAAAGUUACUGUGUAAAUGUUUACAAGUAACAAGGAGAGCUUAUUUUAUUAGGAUUUAGUAAAUUUUAUUUGUUGAAACGGUUUUAGGUCUCAUUUUGAGACUGAUAUCAGACAAGAGAGAAAUGUUAUAUGCAGACAAAACAGGAAAAAGGCAAAACACAUUAGGUUAGCUCAAUGGUGUAAGGUGUGAAUGUUUAUCACCCUGAUGAAAAAAGAAUCUACAUCUUCAGAUAAAUGCAGAUUUGUAAUGUAUUGGAAUGCCUGACAUUCAAAAAGUCUACUUGCACACAUAUUUUUUUUAAAUUGAUCAAAGCGUAGUCCUCCCUGCAUACAGUGUGUCCCUGACAUGUCAAAUGACACUUGAAAUGUAAUUAUAUUGUCAUUAAAGUCUGUAUUGUAUGUAGUUAUGUUCACUUAAAGUGAUACUUCACCCAAAAAUGAAAAUUCUGUCAUCAUUUACUGACCUUCCAGUUGUUCAAAAUACAUUUCUUUGUUCUGAUAUACACAGAGAAAGUUUCCCAUUGUAGGAAAAAUACU